rnacentral:rRNA from 1 species
UACAGAGGGGGCAAGCGUUGUUCGGAAUUACUGGGCGUAAAGGGCGCGUAGGCGGCCUUCUAAGUCGAACGUGAAAUCCCCGGGCUCAACCCGGGAACUGCGUCCGAGACUGAAAGGCUUGAAUCCGGGAGAGGGAUGUGGAAUUCCAGGUGUAGCGGUGAAAUGUGUAGAGAUCGGGAGGAACACCGGUGGCGAAGGCGGGUCUCUGGGCAAUUCCUGACGCUGAGGCGCGAAAGCGUGGGGAGCAAACGGG